GGGUUAUCCGGGUCCAGAGGUCGGGGUAAUACGGAGUGCGUGAGUGGUGUACGGAAGUUGUGGGCGUACAGAGCACGUCGGCGGGUUGUCACGUCGGGUGUGAGAGCGCGGGGCUGAACCCCGGGUCUGCAUUCGGUACGGGCAGGCUAGAGUGUAGUAGGGGAGAUCGGAAUUCCUGGUGUAGCGGUGAAAUGCGCAGAUAUCAGGAGGAACACCGGUGGCGAAGGCGGAUCUCUGGGCCAUUACUGACGCUGAGGAGCGAAAGCGUGGGGAGCGAACAGGAUUAGAUACCCUGUAGUC
rnacentral:rRNA from 1 species